UCCGAGUUGACCCCGGCAGUCUCCUAUGAGUCCCCGACAUUACUCGCUGGCAACAUAGGAUGAGGGUUGCGCUCGUUGCGGGACUUAACCCAACAUCUCACGACACGAGCUGACGACAACCAUGCACCACCUGUGCACGGCCCUUACGGACCUUCCAUCUCUGAAAGAUUUCCGUGCAUGUCAAGCCUUGGUAAGGUUCUUCGCGUUGCAUCGAAUUAAUCCGCAUGCUCCGCCGCUUGUGCGGGCCCCCGUCAAUUCCUUUGAGUUUUAGCCUUGCGGCCGUACUCCCCAGGCGGGGCGCUUAAUGCGUUAGCUGCGGCACCGGGAGGGUCGCUCCCCCCGACGCCUAGUGCCCAUCGUUUACGGCGUGGACUAC
rnacentral:misc_RNA from 1 species